UACGGAGGGUGCAAGCGUUAAUCGGAAUUACUGGGCGUAAAGGGUGCGUAGGUGGCUUGAUAAGUUAGCUGUGAAAGUCCUGGGCUUAACCUGGGGAUUGCAGCUAAGACUGUUGAGCUAUGAGUAUGGGAGAGGGUAGUGGAAUUUCCGGUGUAGCGGUGAAAUGCGUAGAGAUCGGAAGGAACACCAGUGGCGAAGGCGGCUACCUGGCACAAUACUGACACUGAGGCACGAAGGCCAGGGGAGCAAACGGG
rnacentral:rRNA from 1 species